ACGUUCAAACUGAUCAGCGUCUCUCACUUACGCACACCUUCUCACACUUCACGGUCAUUCGGGGAAUGUCUGUAACUACUCACAUGAUUGCUCUAUGACCAGAAGCGCGGGGGCAGGCACGCAUACGGCCCAGAGUGUAGAGGUUAGAAUGAUUCUUCGGUUUAUGUGCGGGAAAAAAAAUGCAUUUCAUGGAAAUUGGAAGUGAACUGCAAAUAACCCAAUAGGCCUACACUGUCAUUCAUUCUAAACAGUUUUAUUUUAGUUGGAUCAAAUGAUUUUAGAAUAUAGCCUACUGUGGCGGCGUUAAGGGGACGACCAGACGAGAGAGCCCAGGGUAUUGUAUGCUAUUGUAACGUAUAUCACAUGAUAUUACAUUACAUAUUUAAUUUCAAACCAAGACAUUUGUACCUGCCAUAAAAAUGACAGAGAGGGAAAUGCUGUUGGCUAUGACGUUGAAUGAAAUUAAAGAAAGAUCUGCCUCAAGCACAAUUUAGGACUGACGUUGCAGAUAAAUAUCUAAACAAUUGGGGCUAAAUCCAGACCAUGUAGCCUACCACUCAAUGGAUCGGGCCUAACGUGUGGACGCCAGAUCGUCCCAUUUCUUUUUGGUCCAGCCCUCCCCCCUUUCCCUUGCGUCUCACCCACACUCUGCCUAUCAACAAGAACUUUUCAAGGGAGCAUGCAUGCAGCCCAUAACCGGCUGGACGGUGAACCACGACGCCUGCCAAGGACACCUUGCGUUGUAAUAGAUUAGAUGCAAACAGGCGAAUUGUUUUCUUUUAUACUACAAUUAUCUUGGGGGCCACACACGGAAAUGACAGCCCAGCAAGUAUUCGCUCCUUAGCCAGGACAACUAUUUUCUACAUCAUAGAAACACUGCCAGCAGACAGGUAGUCUAUGAAGGAUUCGUAAGAAUAUCAAAACGAGCGGCAGAUAUGGAGGGGCAACAACGCAGGGGUCCGUCCUCCAGACGGUACAUGAGACGGAAGAGGCGGGACAUGAUGCAUGUGCAGGUGUGUCUGGUGCUCGGAGUCCUUGGGAUCACCUGGGGAGUGUCUGCCCUGACUGACGUGUCUAGGUUACAUCUUGAGUCAUUCCCAGGAGCGUCUCUUGACCAAUCUCAACGCAGGAAGCUUUUGGCUGUCGCCAAUGGCACCCUUGAGAUCAACUGCACUGAGCCAGGUAUAAUACACACACACACACACACACACA